rnacentral:rRNA from 1 species
GACGAACGCUGGCGGCGUGCUUAACACAUGCAAGUCGAACGGAAAGGCCCUGCUUGUGGGGUGUGCUCGAGUGGCAAACGGGUGAGAAACACGGGAGUAACGUGCCCUAGACUUUGGGAUAACUUCAGGAAACGGGGGAUAAUACCGGAUAGGAGCUCCUGCGGCAGGGGGGGGGUUGGAAAGUUUCGGCGGAUGGGGAGGGACUCGCGGCUUAGCAGCUUGUUGGUGGGGUAGUGGCUUACAAAGGCUUUGGCGGGUGGCCGGCCGGAGGGGGUGACCGGCCACAUUGGGACGGGGUACCGGCCAGGAUUCUUCCGGGAGGAAGCAGUGGGAAAAAUUGCAAAAUGGGCGGAACCCUGUGGAAGGAAGGCGGGGUGCGGGAGAACGGCCUUCGGGUGUUAAACCGCUUCCGCCGGUGACGAACCGUGUGUGGCGGUAAUUGGUUAAGAAGCACCGGCUAACUACGUG